ensembl:lncRNA
CGCAAAGGCCGCCUAGAGGAGGAUGGAGGAAGUUGUGGCCAGCUGGUAAAGCAGCGAGGAGGUUCUAUGGACAGGAAGGUGAAAGUGUCAGUCGCUCAGUCCUGUCUGACUUUUUGCGACCUCCUGGACUGUACCCUGCCAAGCUCCUCUGUCCCUGAAAUCCUCCAGGCAAGAAUGCUGGAGUGGGUAGCCAUUCGCUUCUCCAGGGGAUCUUCCCAACCCAGGGAUCUAACCCCGAGUCUCCUGCAUUGCUGGCAGAUUCUUUACUACCUCAGCCACCAGAGAAGCCCCACUAUGGCCAUGAGGCCCCUACUUUGAACUCUGUCGUCUUCCGAGAAGAAUAAGGACUCCUCUCUCUUGAUAAAAUUUGGUCCCAGCAGUUAAAAUUAUCCCAGGACAACUGAACUCCUAUUGCCUGCGGCAGGAGAACUUAGGAAGUAUUCAGAAGUGAUCAUGAUUGAGAUUGGCCAAGAUCAUGAUUGAGACUAAUAUGGGUGGGUAGCCUCCCUAUGGGUGCAUAAUUGGCUAGAAGCGGUAUGUGGAGCUCUGAUGGGCAAACAAGAGGUGGAGAAGGACACCCAACAAUGAACCACAACAAAUGAUUCACUAGAAAUAUCCUACCCGCCCACUGUUGAUCUGAGAUUUCUGAACUAAAAAAAUCUAACUUCAAUAUCACUGGAAUAUAAACUUUUGGUUUAAUGGGCACAUAGAUAUUUGUUAAAACAUCAGAUUUUGUAAAAUUAACCUUCAUGAUAUAAAAU